rnacentral:rRNA from 1 species
UACGUAGGGGGCAAGCGUUGUCCGGAUUUAUUGGGCGUAAAGAGCGUGUAGGCGGCCAGAUAGGUCCGUUGUGAAAACUGGAGGCUUAACCUCCAGCUGUCGAUGGAAACCAUCUGGCUAGAGUCCGGAAGAGGAGAGUGGAAUUCCUGGUGUAGCGGUGAAAUGCGCAGAUAUCAGGAGGAACACCGGUGGCGAAGGCGGGUCUCUGGGCCGAUAUCGACGCUGAGGAGCGAAAGCGUGGGGAGCGAACAGG